rnacentral:lncRNA from 1 species
AGUCUGUUCUUGGACUCGACGAGUUCAUGCCAUGCUCAAACUCAAAUGACCUUCUGAGGUCAGAUCUGUUCCUCCAAUCCAUAGAUCUGGCCUUACCAACCACUAUAAUCACGUAAAGGUCUGACCUUUACACUCAUGCAAUGACCAAAAAGCUUCUUUGGGCAAACUAACCCCUAAAAUGGCAACCUAGGGCCAUAUCUCUAAUGGAGUAGCAAAAAGCAAUGUGAAUGGGACUCUCUGGACCUCUUAAGGUCCAGAUCUAAGAAGAACUCCACCUUGGGACCUCACAUACUUCGAAUCCAACCCAAAGAAUGCACAAGAAAACCCUAGAUUCAAUUAGAACACCAAAGACACGAGUUGGAGCAUAUAUUAGUACCUCUAGCAACCUCCUCUGAUGAAGGGAUGAUAGAUCUGAGCUCCUCAACCUUCCUUUUUCGACCUCCUUCCUUCUUUCUUGCAAAAACACACUUAGAAUGAUGAAAUAGCCCUCCUCUUGCACUACAAGCCUUCUCUCUGCUCUUUAGGGUUUGUCAGGGGUCUGAUAGCCGCAAAUGGUGGAUAAAAGAUCCUUAAAUAGGGCUCAGGCCCCGGAGAAUUAGGGUUUCAUUAAACAGCGUGGACUCGUCGAGUCCACUCAUGGACUCACCGAGUCCGCCAUUGAAUCAGUCCAACCAUACGCGAUCCUACUCGGCGAGUCUGAGCGCCUACUCGCCGAGUCCCUCUCCAAAACUCAAUAUAAAUGCAUAAAAUAAGAUACCUGGGAAUCCGGAUGCUACAAUUCUCCCCCAAUAGAAUCAGACUUCGACCUCGAAGUCUCAUUUCGCAAACAACUCUGGAUGCUGCUCACACAUCUCUCGCUCUGGCUCCCAAGUCAUCUUGGACCCUUUCCGAUGUUGCCACUGGACCUGCACCAGGGGCACUUCNACCUUGACCUUCCGAUCCAUAAUCGCAACCAGUCUCUCAACGUAGUUCAGACUCACAUCCACCUGGAUAUCCUCUAACGAUACCACUGCCGACUCAUCGGCCACAUACUUCCUCAACUGUGAUACGUGGAAGGUGUCAUGAAUNCUAACUCUGCAGGUAGAUCCAACCGGCAUGCUACCCUGCCUACUCUUGCGAUAACCCUGAAUGGACCAAUAUAUUGGGGCCCUAACUUGCCCCUCUUCCUGAAUCGGAUCACUCCUUUCCAAGGAGAUACCUUCAGGAGAACGAAGUCACCAACUUGAAACUCGAGCUCCGAGCGACGCCUAUCCACGUACUGACGACUCUAAGCUGUCAGCAGUCUCUGCCUGACCUGCUGUAUCUGCUCUGUCGUCUGGAGCACUAUCUCUGUACUGCCCAUCAUUCGCCGCCCUACUUCUCCCCAGCAGAUGGGAGUCCAACACUUCCUCCCAUACAACAGCUCAAAAGGUGGCAUACCAAUGCUCGAAUGAUGGCUGUUGUUAUCAGAAAACUCAUCCAAGGGUAAAUACGUGUCCCAGCUCCCUUCGAAAUCCAAUACACAUGACCAAAGCAUGUCCUCGAGCGUCUGAAUCAUCCGCUCGCUUUGUCCGUCAGUCUGUGGGUGGUAUACGGUACUAAAAUGCAGCCUCGUUCCCAACUCCUCAUGAAAUUUCUUCUUGAACCUGGAAGUGAAACGAACAUCUCGAUCUGAGACAAUCGAGAUCGGUACUCCAUGCCGCGAUACAACCUCCCUCACGUACAACUCUGCUAGCCUCUCAGCAAAAGAGCUCUCACUGAUAGCAAGAAAGUGAGCGCUCUUCGUCAACCUGUCCACAAUCACCCAAAUCACAUCGACCCCUCUUGCAGUCCUUGGCAAUUUGGUGAUAAAGUUCAUGGUAAUUUGUUCCCACUUCUACUCGGGAAUCUCCAAAGGCUGCAAUUUACCAUGCGGACGCUGGUGCUUGGCCUUAACCUUGGGACAGGUCAAACACCUCUUUACAAACCAUGCAACAUCCCUCUUCAUACAGGGCCACCAAUACUUCCUCUUCAAAUCUAAAUACAUCUUAGUGGCCCCGGGAUGGAUCGAAAACCUCGAUCGGUGCGCCUCCUCCAUCAGAAUGGUACGUGCCCUGCCCACAAAUGGCACCCAAAUCCGACCCUGAAAGGUCAUAANUCGGCUACAACGUUAGCCUUUCCCGAGUGGUACAGGAUCUCGCAGUCGUAAUCCUUUACCACAUUCGACCACCUUGUCUGUCGCAUAUUCAGGUUGGGCUGAUCCAUCAAGUACUUCAAACUCUUGUGGUCCAUGUAUAUAGUACACCGGACCCCAUAUAAAUAGUGACGCCAGAUCUUGAGGGCGAACACCACAGCCCCCAACUCUAGAUCGUGGGUGGGAUACCUCAUCUCAUGAGGCUUCAGCUGCCUCGAUGCGUAUGCGAUCACAUGCCUUCUCUGCAUCAGCACCGCACCCAAUCCCGAUAUCGACGCAUCACAAUACACCACAAAAUCCUCCAUCCCCUCCAAAAGGGCUAACACCGGAGCUUCGCAUAAUCUCUAGCAAAGAGUCUCGAAUGCGGUCUGCUGCUCCGGACCCCAUGCAAAAGCAACACCCUUCCGGGUCAACAUGGUGAGAGGCACAGCAAUCUUGGAGAAAUCGCUGAUGAAUCUCCUAUUGUAGCAGGCCAACCCUAGGAAACUCCUGAUCUCGGUGGGGGAUCUCGGCACCUCCUAACUCAUCACUGCCUCAAUCUUCGCCGGAUCGACCAAUAUCCCAUUCUGGUUAACGAGGUGUCCUAGGAACUGAACCUCUCGUAACCAGCUAUCGCACUUGGAGAAUUUGGCAUAAAGCCUCUCCGAUCUCAAUACCCUGAGGAUCUCCUUCAAAUGCUCCUCAUGUUGCCCCCUGGAUUUUGAAUACACCAGUAUGUCGUCAAUGAACACGAUCACCGAACGAUCCAACAUCGGUCUGCACACUUUGUUCAUGAGAUCCAUCAAUGCGGCCGGUGCAUUGGUGAGCUCGAAAGGCAUCACCACGAAGUCGUAAUGCCCAUAACGAGUUCUGAAUGUCGUCUUCUGAAUAUCCUUACCUCGCACUCUCACCUGAUGAUAUCCAGACCUCAAAUCGAUCUUGGAGAACCAAGACACUGCCUGUAACUGGUCGAAGAAAUCGUCGAUCCUCGGCAAGGGGUAACAGUUCUUGACCAUCAACUUGUUCAACUCCCGGUAGUCAAUACACAUCCGGUGUGAACCAUCCUUUUUCUUAACAAAAAGGAUCGGAGCUCCCCACGACGAGCUGCUCGGCCGUAUAAACCCCUUCCCCAACAGCUCCUGGAGCUGCAAGGAUAAAUCCUACAUCUCUGGGGGCGCCUUGGCGAUAGGCGCUGCCACCAUAAUCAAAUCAAUGCGGAACUCUACCUGCCUCUCAAGAGGCACACCCGGUAACUCCUCGGGGAAAACAUUUGGGAACUCGCGCACUAUCGGUACCUCAUCGACUGACCUCGGUCUCUCUAAAUCAACUCUCGUAUCCAUCACGUAAGCUACAAACACACUACAGCCCUGCCAUAGACUCUGCCUCACUCUAGCAGCCGAACAAAACGUUGAACCAGUACAGGUACCCUCGCCGUACACCGUAAGAACUCCCCCACUAGGGUCUCGUAUGGUCACCAGCUGUCGCUCACAGUCAAUAAUCNGCCGUAUAAACCCCUUCCCCAACAGCUCCUGGAGCUGCAAGGAUAAAUCCUACAUCUCUGGGGGCGCCUUGGCGAUAGGCGCUGCCACCAUAAUCAAAUCAAUGCGGAACUCUACCUGCCUCUCAAGAGGCACACCCGGUAACUCCUCGGGGAAAACAUUUGGGAACUCGCGCACUAUCGGUACCUCAUCGACUGACCUCGGUCUCUCUAAAUCAACUCUCGUAUCCAUCACGUAAGCUACAAACACACUACAGCCCUGCCAUAGACUCUGCCUCACUCUAGCAGCCGAACAAAACGUUGAACCAGUACAGGUACCCUCGCCGUACACCGUAAGAACUCCCCCACUAGGGUCUCGUAUGGUCACCAGCUGUCGCUCACAGUCAAUAAUCGCUCCGAAUCUGCUCAACCAAUCCAUGCCCACAAUAACACAUACGUCCCCCAUCGCAAUCGGGACCAAAUCAAUAGGAAACACAACGCCGAAGAUCUCGAGUACACAUCCUCGAAUCACCUCAGUGGCAUACACUGCUCUCUCGUCAUCUAAGGAAACUCUCAGAGGUCGACUCAACGCCUCUCGACUAAUACUGAUAUGUUGAAUAAAGGCUAAAGAUACAAAAGACCGACUCGCACACGAGUCAAAUAACACCAAAGCAGGCACAUAACAUACAAGAAAUGUACCUACGCAUAUCAUAAUAUAAGCAUAUCACCAAAAAUUCAAAAUAAACAUGAGAAAGAAUACAUACCAGCCACAACAUCAGGUGCAACGCAGACCUCCUCCGCGGUCAACUGGAAGGCUCUCCCUCAUGCCUUCGGUGCCUCGGCCUUCACCGGCCAGCUUUCUGUAGCUCUAAUAGCAGUAGGGGUAGAUCCCUGAGAUGCUCCCUGCGCUGACCCCCACAGCUGCGGACACUCUGCCUUCCGGUGUCCGGUCUGGUUGUAGUGUAAAGAUAUUGCGAACCCCUUGGGGCAAUCCUUGGCGAUAUGCCCCUCCUUGCCACACUUGAAGCAAGACCCUGCUCUGCAAACCCCAUCGUGACCCUUGCUGCACUUGCCACAAGUGCGGCUCUUCUGGCUCCCUGAUCUGGAAUCAGCGGGCUUGGCCCGCUUGGCUGCUGGCUGGGGCUGUGCCGGUCGUCGAUCCCUCCCUUGAGACUCCGCCACCUCCCUGGCCUGAGUCUCCAGCUCUAUCUCCCUCUUCCGAGCAUUUUCCUAAAGCUCGGAAAAUGUCCGGUACGAGGAGUUCGCCACGAACUCCCGCAUAUCCCUCCUCAAAAUACUCAGAUACCGACUCAUACGUGCCUGCUCGGAAGACACGUGCUUCGGGUAGAACAUCGCCCUCUCGUGGAACAUCCUGGUGAUCACAUUAACAGACUCAGUACCCUGCUUGAGGGUCAGAAACUCCUAUGCCAAACGCUCCCUCUCCACCGGGGGAAUGUACUCAGCACGGAACAUAGCGGUGAACCUCUCCCAGGUCACCGCAACAAGCUCAGUAAGCGAACAGUGUGUCGUCACAAACUUCCACCAGUCCUUCGCUCCCAAGCGAAGCUGGUUCAACGCGAGCCAAACCCUCAAAUGUUUUGGACAUGAGCAUGUGAAGAAACACCCCUCAAUGUCUGAAAUCCACCUCAUCUCCGCAAUCGGAUCUUGCGUCCCAUCAAACUCUGGUGGUUUUGUGUUGCUGAACUCCCGGAACAGCAACGCAUCACCACCCUGAGGUCUAGCCGCAGCUACAGCUGCAGUGGCUGCAGCAACAUCAACAUCAGAAAGAGCAGCAUAUCUCUCGUUGAAGGUCUCUAUCAACGUGAUCUUGAUAGACCCAAACAUCUCUGGUAUCUCUGCCCUGAUGGCCGCAGCUACCUCUUCGUGAAUGAUCCUACGAAUCUCCUCAUCACUAGCACCACUGCUCUCUGGUGUAAGGCGUGUCCUGACCAUGAUGUCUCUGAAAUACAACAUAAGAAAAUAUCAGGGACUCGUUCGAGUACACUCACACUCGAUAACUCUACCUUACUUGAUCUAUGAUGCUCCAUGGAUUCUUACUUGGAGUGUGCACCGCUCCAGUGUCUUCAGUAGUACGGGCCCAAUACUACUGUCCACACAGCAUCAGUAUACACCCCAAGUCCUCCUCCAAGGAUCUCAGAUUCCAAGUACUCCACUCUCACUAAGCAUAGUCUACUCUCCAACAAAUCUCUCAUAAACCUCUCGUUGCUAUCUACCUCCUCUCAAGCAUCUCCUAGUAGCAACCCCUAGGCUAAGGCAUCACAAAUCAGGCCACUCUAAUACUAAUAGAAUACCUAGCCUACUCUAGCAUGCAAAACAUAUCAUAUCGUCUCAUAACAUUUAACAUAAGAGUAUUUUGGGAAAUCACCGUUCGGGUGCUGGCUGAUCGUACACACGGCUCUGCUAUGCUCUUUUUUAAAUUCUUUUACUCUUUUAGAAAACUUUAUCUUACUUUUUGAAAAAUAUCUCUCAAAUCCUUGGUUUGAGUUCAGAUACGCCCGAAGGUGUACCUGAAUCCCUCAAACCAAGGCUCUGAUACCAACUUGUAACGCCAUAAAAUUUCAAACAAAUUUUCACAUUUUAAAAACAAUUCAAUUCACAAUAUUAUAAAACACAUUGUUCUUAUAUUCCACAUAAGUCAAAAGACCAAGAUCAUAAUAUAUCAAUAAAACUUCACGCGUGUGUGUGUACUGAUCAUGCCGGCGCCUUCCAGCGAUCCUCACUAGUACCUGAAACACAUAACACCAAACACUGUAAGCAUGAAGCAUAGUGAGUUCCCCAAAAUAUCACACAUAACACAUACUAGCCACUCGAGGCUAUAACUCUACGGGCCCUUGGGCCUUAGCUCUGUGGACCCUGUGGUCCUAGCUCUGUGAACCUUUCGGUUCUAACUCUGAUAUACACACGACAUAAAUCACAUAGAAAUAAUGCAGUGCAAAACAUCACAUAAAUAGCAUACAAUAGCUCUGUCACAUAACUCUAAUUACCACUCAAGUUAAAGUAUAGUGAGAAGACUCACCUCGGAUGUCUCGAUAAUAUCUCGCUUGCGUAACACUGAUCUAGCCUCUGCCUAAACACAUAAACGAUCAUCUCAAUUAAUAACGGCUCUCCAGGCUAGACUAAAUCCUCACACGUCCUCUAAGAAGGCUAAAAUACCAUUUUACCCUUCAAGCAGUUCACAAGACCAAUUGCUGACCAUACCCUUAAAAUCAACAAAAGUCAACGGUCAACCCUUUGACCAGACUCGCCGGGUGCAAUUGUGACUCGGCGAGUUCAGUCAUGAACUCAAGUCCUCAAAAUCCCCAACGACUCACCGAGUCACUUUCCCAACUCAGCGAGUCACCAACUGUGUGAUUCAUGGGGGAAAACGAUCCUACUCGUUGAGUCUGUUCUUGGACUCGACGAGUUCAUGCCAUGCUCAAACUCAAAUGACCUUCUGAGGUCAGAUCUGUUCCUCCAAUCCAUAGAUCUGGCCUUACCAACCACUAUAAUCACGUAAAGGUCUGACCUUUACACUCAUGCAAUGACCAAAAAGCUUCUUUGGGCGAACUAACCCCUAAAAUGGCAACCUAGGGCCAUAUCUCUAAUGGAGUAGCAAAAAGCAAUGUGAAUGGGACUCUCUGGACCUCUUAAGGUCCAAAUCUAAGAAGAAAUCUACCUUGGGACCUCACAUACUUCGAAUCCAACCCAAAGAAUGCACAAGAAAACCCUAUAUUCAACUAGAACACCAAAUACAUGAGUUGGAGCAGAGAUUAGUACCUCUAACAGCCUCUUCUGAUGAAUGGAUGAUAGAUCUGAGCUCCUCAACCUUCCUUGUUUGACCUCCUUCCUUCUUUCUGUCAAAAACACACUUAGA